CCUACGGGCGGCAGCAGUGAGGAAUAUUGGUCAAUGGGCGCGAGCCUGAACCAGCCAAGUCGCGUGAGGGAUGACGGCCCUACGGGUGGUAAACUUCUUUUGCCGGGGAGCAAAGGGCGCCACGUGUGGCGUCACUGAGAGUACCCGGAGAAAAAGCAGCGGCUAACUCCGGGCCAGCAGCCGCGGUAAUACGGAGGAUGCGAGCGUUAGCCGGAUUUAGUGGGUUAAAAGGGUGCGUAGGAGGUUCGUUAAGUCAAUGGUCAAAUUGAGGGGCUCAACCCCUUCCCGCCAUUGAAACUGGCGUUCUUGAGUGGAAGAGAGGUAUGCGGAAUGCGUGGUGUAGCGGUGAAAUGCAUAGAUAUCACGCAGAACCCCGAUUGCGAAGGCAGCAUGCCGGCUUCCGACUGACGCUGAAGCACGAAAGCGUGGGGAUCGAACAGGAUUAGAUACCCGAGUAGUC
rnacentral:rRNA from 1 species